GCAAAAGAUAAUGUUUAAUGUCAAGCCUGCGAGAUACGACAAAUACCCAAGCGUAGCAACAAUUAGAUAAGCUUGAAGAAAAAGCAUAUAAGGACAGAAGAGGAUGAUGAACGAAGUAAGAACUUUUGUUUAAUCCUUUUUAUUGGUGAGUUUAGCACUAAAGUAUUUGAAGCUUGUUUUAAAUCUUAUGUGGUUUUAUUUUGACACUGUACAUACGAGAGGGAAGAGAGUGAGGAUGAACAAUUAACGAUCUGAAGCUGGUUCGGCUUCAUUGACCAACUCUCGUUCUGUGCGCUUUGCUAUGGCUUAAAAAUCAAAUGAAAACUCUCUCGUAAAAAUCCAACAAAGAGUCUCCUCUCUUGUAAGUUGUAAAUAUAGGUUUGAAGAAGAAGCAUACAAGGGGACAGAAGAAGUACGUACGAGAUGGAAAAAACAGAGAAUGAACAAUUCAUAACCCGAAGUUGGUUCGUCUUCACUGAACAACCCUAGUUGUGUGCGCUUUGCUAUGUCUUCAUAAUCAAAGGAAAAUUCUCUGAGAGUGGAAUUUUACAGGAGAAAACAUUUCUUCUGCAAACAAUGCUUGUAUAGCCAUCGAAGAAUUAACAUUCAAGGUAACACUAAU